rnacentral:rRNA from 1 species
UGCAAUCUACCUUUAACAGGUGAAUAGCCCGAAGAAAUUCGGAUUAAAACACCAUAGUAUAGUGAAUAGGCAUCUAUUUACUAUUAAAACUCCGGUGGUUAAAGAUGAGCAUGCGUGACAUUAGCUAGUUGGUGAGGUAACGGCUCACCAAGGCAACGAUGUCUAGGGGAUCUGAGAGGAUUAACC